CCUACGGGUGGCAGCAGUGGGGAAUAUUGCGCAAUGGGCGAAAGCCUGACGCAGCGACGCCGCGUGAGGGAUGAAGGUCUUCGGAUCGUAAACCUCUGUCAGCAGGGAAGAACGGUCACUGUGCUAAUCAGCAGUGAAUUGACGGUACCUGCAAAGGAAGCACCGGCUAACUCCGUGCCAGCAGCCGCGGUAAUACGGAGGGUGCGGGCUUUAAUCGGAAUUACUGGGCGUAAAGCGCUCGUAGGCGGUAUGUCAAGUCAAGGGUGAAAUCCCCGCGCUCAACGUGGGAACUGCCUUUGAAACUGGCAAACUGGAGUGUGUGAGAGGAUAGUGGAAUGCCAGGUGUAGGAGUGAAAGCCGUAGAUAUCUGGAGGAACAUCAGUGGCGAAGGCGACUAUCUGGCACAUAACUGACGCUGAGGAGCGAAAGCGUGGGUAGCAAACAGGAUUAGAUACCCGAGUAGUC
rnacentral:rRNA from 1 species